AUUGAACGCUGGCGGCAUGCCUUACACAUGCAAGUCGAACGGUAACAGGUCUUCGGACGCUGACGAGUGGCGAACGGGUGAGUAAUACAUCGGAACGUGCCCAGUCGUGGGGGAUAACUACUCGAAAGAGUGGCUAAUACCGCAUACGAUCUGAGGAUGAAAGCGGGGGACCUUCGGGCCUCGCGCGAUUGGAGCGGCGGAUGGCAGAUUAGGUAGUUGGUGGGAUAAAAGCUUACCAAGCCGACGAUCUGUAGCUGGUCUGAGAGGACGACCAGCCACACUGGGACUGAGACACGGCCCAGACUCCUACGGGAGGCAGCAGUGGGGAAUUUUGGACAAUGGGCGAAAGCCUGAUCCAGCAAUGCCGCGUGCAGGAUGAAGGCCUUCGGGUUGUAAACUGCUUUUGUACGGAACGAAAAAGCUUCCCCUAAUACGGGAGGCCCAUGACGGUACCGUAAGAAUAAGCACCGGCUAACUACGUGCCAGCCGCCGCGGUAAAAC
rnacentral:rRNA from 1 species